rnacentral:tRNA from 1 species
GGCGGCGUAGCUCAGUUGGUUAGAGCGACGGAAUCAUAAUCCGUAGGUCUAGGGUUCGAAUCCCUGCGCCGUUU